rnacentral:rRNA from 1 species
AUUGAACGCUGGCGGCAUGCUUUACACAUGCAAGUCGAACGGUAACAGCACUUCGGUGGCUGACGAGUGGCGAACGGGUGAGUAAUACAUCGGAACGUGCCUAGUAGUGGGGGAUAACUACUCGAAAGAGUAGCUAAUACCGCAUGAGAUCUAAGGAUGAAAGCAGGGGACCUUCGGGCCUUGCGCUACUAGAGCGGCUGAUGGCAGAUUAGGUAGUUGGUGGGAUAAAAGCUUACCAAGCCGACGAUCUGUAGCUGGUCUGAGAGGACGACCAGCCACACUGGGACUGAGACACGGCCCAGACUCCUACGGGAGGCAGCAGUGGGGAAUUUGGGACAAUGGGCGCAAGCCUGAUCCAGCAAUGCCGCGUGCAGGAUGAAGGCCUUCGGGUUGUAAACUGCUUUUGUACGGAACGAAAAGCCCUCUUCUAAUACAGGAGGGUCAUGACGGUACCGUAAGAAGAAGCACCGGCGAACUACGU